rnacentral:rRNA from 1 species
AUUGAACGCUGGCGGCAUGCUUUACACAUGCAAGUCGAACGGUAACAGGUUAAGCUGACGAGUGGCGAACGGGUGAGUAAUGCAUCGGAACGUGCCCGAUCGUGGGGGAUAACGCAGCGAAAGCUGCGCUAAUACCGCAUACGAUCUGAGGAUGAAAGCGGGGGACCGUAAGGCCUCGCGCGAUCGGAGCGGCCGAUGUCAGAUUAGGUAGUUGGUGGGGUAAAGGCUCACCAAGCCAACGAUCUGUAGCUGGUUUGAGAGGACGACCAGCCACACUGGGACUGAGACACGGCCCAGACUCCUACGGGAGGCAGCAGUGGGGAAUUUUGGACAAUGGGCGCAAGCCUGAUCCAGCAAUGCCGCGUGCAGGAAGAAGGCCUUCGGGUUGUAAACUGCUUUUGUACGGAACGAAACGGUGAUCUCUAAUACAGAUUGCUAAUGACGGUAC